rnacentral:rRNA from 1 species
UACGUAGGGACCAAGCGUUGUUCGGAUUUACUGGGCGUAAAGGGCGCGUAGGCGGUGUGGUACGUCACUUGUGAAAUCUCUGAGCUUAACUCAGAACGGCCAAGUGAUACUGCUGUGCUAGAGUGCAGAAGGGGCAAUCGGAAUUCUUGGUGUAGCGGUGAAAUGCGUAGAGAUCCGGAGGAACCCCAGAGGCGAAGGCGGCGCCCUGGCUCGCAACUGACGCUCAGACACGACAGCAUGGGGAGCGAACGGG